AGCAGCCGCGGUAAUUCCAGCUCCAAUAGCGUAUAUUAAAGUUGUUGCAGUUAAAAAGCUCGUAGUUGAAUUUCGGGGUUAGUAGGCUGGUCGUGCCACUGGUAUGUACUGGUCUCACUGAUUCCUCCUUCCUGAUGAGCUGUAAUGCCAUUAAUUUGGUGUUGCAGGGAAUCUGGACUGUUACUUUGAAAAAAUUAGAGUGUUUAAAGCAGGCUAACGCUUGAAUACAUUAGCAUGGAAUAAUGAAAUAGGACGAUCGAACCUAUUUUGUUGGUUUCUAGGAUUGACGUAAUGAUUAAUAGGGAUAGUUGGGGGCAUUAGUAUUCAAUUGUCAGAGGUGAAAUUCUUGGAUUUAUUGAAGACUAACUACUGCGAAAGCAUUUGCCAAGGAUGUUUUCAUUAAUCAAGAACGAAAGUUAGGGGAUCGAAGACGAUCAGAUACCGUCGUAGUCUUAACCAUAAACUAUGCCGACUAGGGAUCGGAUGAUGUUAAUUUUUAAUGACUCAUUC
rnacentral:rRNA from 1 species